rnacentral:rRNA from 1 species
UGGGGAAUAUUGCACAAUGGGCGAAAGCCUGAUGCAGCAACGCCGCGUGAGCGAAGAAGGUCUUCGGAUCGUAAAGCUCUGUCCUUGGGGAAGAUAAUGACGGUACCUGACUAAGAAGCCCCGGCUAACUACGUGCCAGCAGCCGCGGUAAUACGUAGGGGGCAAGCGUUAUCCGGAUUUACUGGGUGUAAAGGGAGCGCAGGCGGCGAAGCAAGCCAGAGGUGAAAACCCGGGGCUCAACCCCGAGGAUUGCCUUUGGAACUGUUUUGCUUGAGUGCUGGAGGGGCAGGCGGAAUUCCUGGUGUAGCGGUGAAAUGCGUAGAUAUCAGGAGGAACACCGGUGGCGAAGGCGGCCUGCUGGACAGUAACUGACGCUGAGGCUCGAAAGCGUGGGGAGCAAACAGGAUUAGAUACCCUGGUAGU